AUUGAACGCUGGCGGCAGGCCUAACACAUGCAAGUCGAGCGAGCGGCGGACGGGUGAGUAAUGUAUGGGGACUGCACGAUAGAGGGGGAUAACUACUGGAAACGGUGGCAAAUACCGCAUACUAUCGGAUAACCCAUAUGGGAUUAGCUAGUAGGUGGGGUAAAGGCUCACCUAGUCGACGAUCUCUAGCUGGUCUGAGAGGAGGAUCAGCAACACUGGAACUGAGAGACGGCCCAGACUCCUCCGGAUGCAGACGUGGGGAAUAUUGCACAAUGGGCGCAAGCCUGAUGCAGCCAUGCCGAGUGUAUGAAGAAGGCCUUAGGGUUGUAAAGUACUUUCAGGGGGGAGGCGUUACCCGCAGAAGAAGCACCGGCUAACUCCGUGCCAGCAGCCGCGGUAAUAC
rnacentral:rRNA from 1 species